rnacentral:rRNA from 1 species
AAGUCGAGCGAACGGACGAGAAGCUUGCUUCUCUGAUGUUAGCGGCGGACGGGUGAGUAACACGUGGAUAACCUACCUAUAAGACUGGGAUAACUUCGGGAAACCGGAGCUAAUACCGGAUAAUAUUUUGAACCGCAUGGUUCAAAAGUGAAAGACGGUCUUGCUGUCACUUAUAGAUGGAUCCGCGCUGCAUUAGCUAGUUGGUAAGGUAACGGCUUACCAAGGCAACGAUGCAUAGCCGACCUGAGAGGGUGAUCGGCCACACUGGAACUGAGACACGGUCCAGACUCCUACGGGAGGCAGCAGUAGGGAAUCUUCCGCAAUGGGCGAAAGCCUGACGGAGCAACGCCGCGUGAGUGAUGAAGGUCUUCGGAUCGUAAAACUCCGUUAUUAGGGAAGAACAUAUGUGUAAGUAACUGUGCACAUCUUGACGGUACCUUAUCAGAAAGCCACGGCUAACUACGUGCCAGCAGCCGCGGUAAUACGUAGGUGGCAAGCGUUAUCCGGAAUUAUUGGGCGUAAAGCGCGCGUAGGCGGUUUUUUAAGUCUGAUGUGAAAGCCCACGGCUCAACCGUGGAGGGUCAUUGGAUACUGGAAAACUUGAGUGCAGAAGAGGAAAGUGGAAUUCCAUGUGUAGCGGUGAAAUGCGCAGAGAUAUGGAGGAACACCAGUGGCGAAGGCGACUUUCUGGUCU